rnacentral:rRNA from 1 species
GACGAACGCUGGCGGCGUGCCUAAUACAUGCAAGUCGAGCGGACGAAUCGAAAGCUUGCUUUUGAUUCGUUAGCGGCGGACGGGUGAGUAACACGUGGGCAACCUGCCCUGUAGACGGGGAUAACACCGAGAAAUCGGUGCUAAUACCGGAUAACACGAAAUGUCGCAUGACGUUUCGUUGAAAGACGGCGCAAGCUGCCGCUACAGGAUGGGCCCGCGGCGCAUUAGCUAGUUGGUGAGGUAACGGCUCACCAAGGCGACGAUACGUAGCCGACCUGAGAGGGUGAUCGGCCACACUGGGACUGAGACACGGCCCAGACUCCUACGGGAGGCAGCAGUAGGGAAUCUUCCGCAAUGGACGAAAGUCUGACGGAGCAACGCCGCGUGAGUGAAGAAGGCCUUCGGGUCGUAAAGCUCUGUUGUUAGGGAAGAACAAGUAACGCAGUAACUGGCGUUACCGUGACGGUACCUAACGAGAAAGCCACGGCUAACUACGUG